rnacentral:rRNA from 1 species
AAAUUGAAGAGUUUGAUCAUGGCUCAGAUUGAACGCUGGCGGCAGGCCUAACACAUGCAAGUCGAACGGUAACAGGAAACAGCUUGCUGUUUCGCUGACGAGUGGCGGACGGGUGAGUAAUGUCUGGGAAACUGCCUGAUGGAGGGGGAUAACUACUGGAAAUGGUAGCUAAUACCGCAUAAUGUCGC